rnacentral:rRNA from 1 species
UUUGUAGAAUUUGUCUUUGAUUAGGUCCUUGUCUAUGUUCCUUGGAACAGGACGUCAUAGAGGGUGAGAAUCCCGUUUGGCGAGGAUACCUUUUCUCUGUAAGACUUUUUCGAAGAGUCGAGUUGUUUGGGAAUGCAGCUCAAAGUGGGUGGUAAAUUCCAUCUAAAGCUAAAUAUUGGCGAGAGACCGAUAGCGAACAAGUACAGUGAUGGAAAGAUGAAAAGAACUUUGAAAAGAGAGUGAAAAAGUACGUGAAAUUGUUGAAAGGGAAGGGCAUUUGAUCAGACAUGGUGUUUUUUGCAUGCACUCGCCUCUCGUGGGCUUGGGCCUCUCAAAAAUUUCACUGGGCCAACAUCAAUUCUGGCAGUAGGAUAAAUCAUUAAGAAUGUAGCUACCUCGGUAGUGUUAUAGCUUAUUGGAAUACUGCUAGCUGGGAUUGAGGACUGCGCUUCG